UACGUAGGGUGCGAGCGUUAAUCGGAAUUACUGGGCGUAAAGCGCGCGUAGGCGGCUUUGCAAGUCGAGUGUGAAAUCCCCAGGCUCAACCUGGGAACUGCAUUCGAGACUGCAUAGCUAGAGUAUGGGAGAGGGAAGUGGAAUUUCAGGUGUAGCGGUGAAAUGCGCAGAUAUCAGGAAGAACACCCGUGGCUAAGGCGGCUCUCUAGUACGGUACUGACGCUGAGACGCGAAAGCGUGAGGAGCGAACAGG
rnacentral:rRNA from 1 species